rnacentral:rRNA from 1 species
GACGAACGCUGGCGGCGUGCUUAACACAUGCAAGUCGAACGAAGUGGCGAACGGGUGAGUAACGCGUAAUCAACCUGCCCUUCAGAGGGGGACAACAGUUGGAAACGACUGCUAAUACCGCAUACUGAAGGAGGGGAUUGCGUCUGAUUAGCUAGUUGGGGGGGUAACGGCCCACAAAGGUGAUGAUCAGUAGCCGGGCUGAGAGGAUGAACGGCCACAGUGGGACUGAGAUACGGCCCAGACUCCUACGGGAGGCAGCAGUGGGGAAUCUUCGGCAAUGGACGAAAGUCUGACCGAGCAACGCCGCGUGAGUGAAGAAGGUUUUCGGAUCGUAAAACUCUGUUGUUAGAGAAGCGGUAUCUAACCAGAAAGCCACGGCUAACUACGUGCCAGCAGCCGCGGUAAUUC